CAGCCGCCGCGGGAACACGUAGGGUGCGAGCGUUAAUCGGAAUUACUGGGCGUAAAGCGUGCGUAGGUGGUGGUUUAAGUCCGUUGUGAAAGCCCUGGGCUCAACCUGGGAAUUGCAGUGGAUACUGGGUCACUAGAGUGUGGUAGAGGAUAGUGGAAUUUCCGGUGUAGCAGUGAAAUGCGUAGAGAUCGGAAGGAACAUCUGUGGCGAAGGCGGCUAUCUGGGCCAACACUGACACUGAGGCACGAAAGCGUGGGGAGCAAACAGGAUUAGAUACCCGUGUAGUCCCUGUCUCUUAUAC
rnacentral:rRNA from 1 species